rnacentral:rRNA from 1 species
GUAAUAGCUCACUAGUCGAGAGGUCCUGCGCCGAAAAUGUCCGGGGCUGAAACACAACACCGAAGCUUAGGAAUGUAGAAAUACAUUGGUAGAGGAGCAUUCUUAAAGGAAUGAAGCAGUACCGAUAAGGAGCUGUGGACUUUUAAGAAGAGAGAAUGCCGGAAUGAGUAGCGAGAUGGAGGUGGGAAUCCUCCAGGCCGAAUAUCUAAGGUUUCCAGGGUAAAGCUGAUCUGCCCUGGGUAAGUCGGGGCCUAAGGCAAGGCUGAGAAGCGUAGCUGAUGGACAACAGGUUUAGAUUCCUGUACCACAUGGUAUCAGAACUGUGGGGACGCAGAGGGAUAAGAUGACCGGGGGACAGAUUCCCGGGCAAGCGCAGGAGGUGUCAGGCAGGCAAAUCCGUCUGACAAGCCAAAGGCGUGACGCGGACCGAACUAAAGUAGGGAAGCAUCCGAUUCCAGCUGCCGAGAAAAGCCGCUAUUGUGUAUCAUGUGCCCGUACCGUAAACCGACACAGGUGGAUGAGGAGAGAAUCCUAAGGCCGGCGGGAGAAGCAUUGUUAAGGAACUCGGCAAAAUGACCCCGUAACUUCGGGAGAAGGGGUGCCACAGAGAUGUGGCCGCAGAGAAUAGGCUCAAGCAACUGUUUAGCAAAAACACAGGUCUAUGCGAAACCGUAAGGUGAGGUAUAUGGGCUGACGCCUGCCCGGUGCUGGAAGGUUAAGAGGAGAGGUUAGAGCAAUCGAAGCUUUGAAUUGAAGCCCCAGUAAACGGCGGCCGUAACUAUAACGGUCCUAAGGUAGCGAAAUUCCUUGUCGGGUAAGUUCCGACCCGCACGAAAGGCGUAAUGAUUUGAGCGCUGUCUCGACAAUGCACCCGGUGAAAUUGAAAUACCAGUGAAGAUGCUGGUUACCUGCGCCAGGACGGAAAGACCCCAUGGAGCUUUACUCCAGCUUGAUACUGGGAUUCGGUAUUGCAUGUACAGGAUAGGUGGGAGGCUGUGAAAUGGUAACGCCAGUUGCCAUGGAGCCGCUGUUGGGAUACCACCCUUGCAGUACUGGGUUUCUAACCAGCAGCCGUGACCCGGCUGGGGGACAAUGUCAGGUGGGGAGUUUGACUGGGGCGGUCGCCUCCGAAAGGGUAUCGGAGGCGCUCAAAGGUUCCCUCAGAAUGGUUGGAAACCAUUCGAAGAGUGCAAAGGCAGAAGGGAGCUUGACUGCGA